GAUGAACGCUAGCGGCAGGCUUAACACAUGCAAGUCGAGGGGUAUAGGCUUUCGGACCUAGAGACCGGCGCACGGGUGCGUAACGCGUAUGCAAUCUACCUUUCACAGAGGGAUAGCCCAGAGAAAUUUGGAUUAAUACCUCAUAGUAUAGCAGUUUCGCAUGAAACCACUAUUAAAGUAUCAACGGUGAAAGAUGAGCAUGCGUCCCAUUAGCUGGAUGGUAAGGUAACGGCUUACCAUGGCUACGAUGGGUAGGGGUCCUGAGAGGGAGAUCCCCCACACUGGUACUGAGACACGGACCAGACUCCUACGGGAGGCAGCAGUGAGGAAUAUUGGUCAAUGGACGCAAGUCUGAACCAGCCAUGCCGCGUGCAGGAUGACGGUCCUAUGGAUUGUAAACUGCUUUUGUACGAGAAGAAACAACAUUACGUGUAAUGUCUUGACGGUAUCGUAAGAAUAAGGAUCGGCUAACUCCGUGCCAGCCGCCGCAGUAAAAC
rnacentral:rRNA from 1 species